rnacentral:rRNA from 1 species
AUUGAACGCUGGCGGCAGGCCUAACACAUGCAAGUCGCACGAGUGGCGGACGGGUGAGUAAUGUCUGGGAAACUGCCUGAUGGAGGGGGAUAACUACUGGAAACGGUAGCUAAUACCGCAUACCAUCAGAUGUGCCCAGAUGGGAUUAGCUAGUAGGUGGGGUAAUGGCUCACCUAGGCGACGAUCCCUAGCUGGUCUGAGAGGAUGACCAGCCACACUGGAACUGAUGCACGGUCCAGACUCGUACGGGAGGCGGCAGUGGGGAAUAGUGCACAAUGGGCGCAAGCCUAAUGCAGCCAUGCCGCGUGUAUGACGAAGGCCUUCGGGUUGUAAAGUACUUUCAGCGGGGAGGCGUUACCCGCAGAAGAAGCACCGGCUAACUCCGUGCCAGCCGCCGCGGUAAUAC